rnacentral:rRNA from 1 species
UACGUAGGGGGCAAGCGUUGUCCGGAUUUAUUGGGCGUAAAGCGCUCGCAGGUGGUUCGAUGCGUCGGGCGUGAAAGACCCCGGCUCAACUGGGGAGGGUCGUGCGAUACGGUCGGACUGGAGGCCAGUAGGGGGAUGCGGAAUUCCGGGUGUAGUGGUGGAAUGCGUAGAGAUCCGGAGGAACACCAGCGGCGAAGGCGGCAUCCUGGACUGGUCCUGACACUCAUGAGCGAAAGCGUGGGGAGCGAUCCGG